rnacentral:rRNA from 1 species
UACGUAGGGUGCGAGCGUUGCCCGGAUUUAUUGGGCGUAAAGGGCGCGUAGGCGGCCACGCACGUCCGUUGUGAAAUCGCCCGGCUCAACUGGGCGGGGUCAGCGGAUACGGUGUGGCUCGAGCAAGCUAGGGGGCAAUGGAAUUCCCGGUGUAGUGGUGGAAUGCGUAGAUAUCGGGAGGAACACCAGUGGCGAAGGCGGUUGCCUGGAGCUUUGGCUGACG